rnacentral:rRNA from 1 species
UACGGAGGGUGCGAGCGUUGUCCGGAAUCACUGGGCGUAAAGGGCGCGUAGGCGGCGCGAGUAGUCAACGGUGAAAGCCCGGGGCUCAACCCCGGGUCGGCCGCCGAUACUCUCGUGCUUGAGCACUGUAGAGGCAGGUGGAAUUCCGGGUGUAGCGGUGGAAUGCGUAGAGAUCCGGAAGAACACCGGUGGCGAAGGCGGCCUGCUGGGCAGUAGCUGACACUGAGGCGCGACAGCGUGGGGAGCAAACAGG